CGGGAUACCCGAGGGAAACUUCGGUUAAUACGGUAUAAGACCACACUACCGCAUGGUAGAGGGGUAAAAGGGGCAACCUGGUAUGAGAUGGACUCGCGUCGCAUUAGCUAGUUGGUGAGGUAACGGCCCACCAAGGCGACGAUGCGUAGCCGACCUGAGAGGGUGAUCGGCCACAUUGGGACUGAGAUACGGCCCAGACUCCUACGGGAGGCAGCAGUGGGGAAUAUUGGGCAAUGGAGGAAACUCUGACCCAGCAAUGCCGCGUGAAUGAAGAAGGUCUUCGGAUUGUAAAGUUCUUUAGUCAGGGAAGAAGUCAAUGACGGUACCUGAAGAAUAAGCUCCGGCUAACUACGUGCCAGCAGCCGCGGUAAUACGUAGGGAGCAAGCGUUGUUCGGAAUGACUGGGCGUAAAGGGUGCGUAGGCGGUUGUACAAGUUAGAAGUGAAAUACCCAGGGCUUAACCCGGGUGCUGCUUCUAAAACUGUAUGACUUGAGUGCAGUAGAGGUUAGUGGAAUUCCUAGUGUAGCGGUGGAAUGCGUAGAUAUUAGGAGGAACACCAGAGGCGAAGGCGGCUAACUGGACUGCAACUGACGCUGAGGCACGAAAGUGUGGGGAGCAAACAGGAUUAGAUACCCUGGUAGUCCACACUGUAAACGAUGGAUACUAGAUGUAGGAGGUAUCGACUCCUUCUGCGUCGCAG
rnacentral:rRNA from 1 species